UACGUAGGCAGCAAGCGUUGUUCGGAAUUACUGGGCGUAAAGGGCGCGUAGGCGGCCCUCCUUGUCGCGUGUGAAAGCCCCGGGCUCAACCUGGGAAUUGCGCGCGAAACGGGGGGGCUUGAGUUCGGGAGAGGAGCGUGGAAUUCCCAGUGUAGAGGUGAAAUUCGUAGAUAUUCGCAAGAACACCAGUGGCGAAGGCGGCUCACUGGCCCGAUACUGACGCUGAGGCACGAAAGCGUGGGGAGCAAACAGG
rnacentral:rRNA from 1 species